rnacentral:lncRNA from 1 species
AGCAAUCUUGUAGGCAAAGGCCUUCUUAUACCUCUUGAGCGAGUCUAGAGUCUUUGCUCGCUCCUCAGGUGUCAAAUCUACUGCAAUAAUCACAUACAACUUUUCUUCCUCAUCCAAGAAUCCAUAGCUCAAGUGCUUAGGUAACUCCUUCAAUUCUAAGGCCGGGGGGUCCUCAAAAGAAGACUUUACUUUAUGCUCUUCUUACUAGUCAAGAGAAAGAAAAGGGUCAGUAGAACAGCUAGGCUCAGUAGCCAACAAACUAGCUAGCUACUCCAACACUUGCUCGUUGGACAACUCCUCCUCAUCUCCUUGCAAUGCUACCUGCAAAGGAUCAUCAAGCAAUAUUUCCUACAAAUGAGACUUAACUGCAUCAUCCAUAAUAUCAAUAGAAAACACAG